GAUGAACGCUGGCGGCGUGCCUAAUACAUGCAAGUCGAGCGAACAGACGAGGAGCUUGCUCCUCUGACGUUAGCGGCGGACGGGUGAGUAACACGUGGAUAACCUACCUAUAAGACUGGGAUAACUUUGGGAAACCGGAGCUAAUACCGGAUAAUAUAUUGAACCGCAUGGUUCAAUAGUGAAAGACGGUUUUGCUGUCACUUAUAGAUGGAUCCGCGCCGCAUUAGCUAGUUGGUAAGGUAACGGCUUACCAAGGCAACGAUGCGUAGCCGACCUGAGAGGGUGAUCGGCCACACCGGAACUGAGACACGGUCCAGACUCCUACGGGAGGCAGCAGUAGGGAAUCUUCCGCAAUGGGCGAAAGCUUGACGGAGCAACGCCGCGUGAGUGAUGAAGGUCUUCGGAUCGUAAAACUCUGUUAUUAGGGAAGAACAAAUGUGUAAGUAACUAUGCACGUCUUGACGGUACCUAAUCAGAAAGCCACGGCUAACUACGUG
rnacentral:rRNA from 1 species